GUUGAGGGUUGCUUCCUCAGCCCCAGCCACUCUUCACAGAGUCCCCUCCUUCUGGAGCCCAGGCCAAGGCCUGUGGGGAUGGGAGGUGGUGCACGCUGAAGAUUAAGUUUUAGGUUUCAAGUUUAGGGAAAGUAUCUCUUUCCCUAAGGCAUCUUUUUCAACCCCCUUGUCUCUAGUCCCCUUCCCGAUGCUCUAGGCUUGCACCCUUGGCAGUGGUGGUAGGAGGUCCUUUUUCUUUCAUGGGCCUCCCAAAAAAGCCAAAUUGGCUUGGAAGUAGCUGUGUGCAUGGCCUGGGUGUAACUUCGUGACAUACGUGCAUUUGUGGAGUAUGUGUGUGUGCAUGCAUGUGAGUAUGACGCAGUGACACCUGAAACGUGAGUGUAUGGGCUUUUUGGGGGUGUGCAUGCCUGUUUGAUGUGUGAAGGGAAGGUGUGCCAUUUGUGUGGUGUGUAUAUGUGGUGUGUGCAUUUGUGUGGUGUGCAUUUGUGUGGUGUGUAUAUGUGGCGUGUGCAUUUGUGUGGUGUGUAUAUGUGGCGUGUGCAUUUGUGUGGUGUGCAUUUGUGUGGUGUGUAUAUGUGGCAUGUGAACACGUGUGCGAUGUGAGGAGAGAGGGAGUGAGACAUUCACGGAGCACGCCUGUCUCUCCUGGCUGUGGAUGACUGGACUCUCGCUCAUUAGGUGAUCCCACCUCAGGGUUUGUGGGGAGAUGUCUGACACUAGAGAAUGAACAUGUGCUUUGGGGAGAGGACUUUCACAUCCCA
rnacentral:lncRNA from 1 species